rnacentral:rRNA from 1 species
GGUUAAGCGACUAAGCGUACACGGUGGAUGCCCUGGCAGUCAGAGGCGAUGAAGGACGUGCUAAUCUGCGAUAAGCGUCGGUAAGGUGAUAUGAACCGUUAUAACCGGCGAUUUCCGAAUGGGGAAACCCAGUGUGAUUCGUCACACUAUCAUUAACUGAAUCCAUAGGUUAAUGAGGCGAACCGGGGGAACUGAAACAUCUAAGUACCCCGAGGAAAAGAAAUCAACCGAGAUUCCCCCAGUAGCGGCGAGCGAACAGGGAGCAGCCCAGAGCCUGAAUCAGUGUGUGUGUUAGUGGAAGCGUCUGGAAAGGCGCGCGAUACAGGGUGACAGCCCCGUACACAAAAAUGCACAUACUGUGAGCUCGAUGAGUAGGGCGGGACACGUGGUAUCCUGUCUGAAUAUGGGGGGACCAUCCUCCAAGGCUAAAUACUCCUGACUGACCGAUAGUGAACCAGUACCGUGAGGGAAAGGCGAAAAGAACCCCGGCGAGGGGAGUGAAAAAGAACCUGAAACCGUGUACGUACAAGCAGUGGGAGCACAGAGCAAUCUGUGUGACUGCGUACCUUUUGUAUAAUGGGUCAGCGACUUAUAUUCUGUAGCAAGGUUAACCGAAUAGGGGAGCCGAAGGGAAACCGAGUCUUAACUGGGCGUUAAGUUGCAGGGUAUAGACCCGAAACCCGGUGAUCUAGCCAUGGGCAGGUUGAAGGUUGGGUAACACUAACUGGAGGACCGAACCGACUAAUGUUGAAAAAUUAGCGGAUGACUUGUGGCUGGGGGUGAAAGGCCAAUCAAACCGGGAGAUAGCUGGUUCUCCCCGAAAGCUAUUUAGGUAGCGCCUCGUGAAUUCAUCUCCGGGGGUAGAGCACUGUUUCGGCAAGGGGGUCAUCCCGACUUACCAACCCGAUGCAAACUGCGAAUACCGGAGAAUGUUAUCACGGGAGACACACGGCGGGUGCUAACGUCCGUCGUGAAGAGGGAAACAACCCAGACCGCCAGCUAAGGUCCCAAAGUCAUGGUUAAGUGGGAAACGAUGUGGGAAGGCCCAGACAGCCAGGAUGUUGGCUUAGAAGCAGCCAUCAUUUAAAGAAAGCGUAAUAGCUCACUGGUCGAGUCGGCCUGCGCGGAAGAUGUAACGGGGCUAAACCAUGCACCGAAGCUGCGGCAGCGACGCUUAUGCGUUGUUGGGUAGGGGAGCGUUCUGUAAGCCUGUGAAGGUGUACUGUGAGGUAUGCUGGAGGUAUCAGAAGUGCGAAUGCUGACAUAAGUAACGAUAAAGCGGGUGAAAAGCCCGCUCGCCGGAAGACCAAGGGUUCCUGUCCAACGUUAAUCGGGGCAGGGUGAGUCGACCCCUAAGGCGAGGCCGAAAGGCGUAGUCGAUGGGAAACAGGUUAAUAUUCCUGUACUUGGUGUUACUGCGAAGGGGGGACGGAGAAGGCUAUGUUGGCCGGGCGACGGUUGUCCCGGUUUAAGCGUGUAGGCUGGUUUUCCAGGCAAAUCCGGAAAAUCAAGGCUGAGGCGUGAUGACGAGGCACUACGGUGCUGAAGCAACAAAUGCCCUGCUUCCAGGAAAAGCCUCUAAGCAUCAGGUAACAUCAAAUCGUACCCCAAACCGACACAGGUGGUCAGGUAGAGAAUACCAAGGCGCUUGAGAGAACUCGGGUGAAGGAACUAGGCAAAAUGGUGCCGUAACUUCGGGAGAAGGCACGCUGAUAUGUAGGUGAAGCGACUUGCUCGUGGAGCUGAAAUCAGUCGAAGAUACCAGCUGGCUGCAACUGUUUAUUAAAAACACAGCACUGUGCAAACACGAAAGUGGACGUAUACGGUGUGACGCCUGCCCGGUGCCGGAAGGUUAAUUGAUGGGGUUAGCGCAAGCGAAGCUCUUGAUCGAAGCCCCGGUAAACGGCGGCCGUAACUAUAACGGUCCUAAGGUAGCGAAAUUCCUUGUCGGGUAAGUUCCGACCUGCACGAAUGGCGUAAUGAUGGCCAGGCUGUCUCCACCCGAGACUCAGUGAAAUUGAACUCGCUGUGAAGAUGCAGUGUACCCGCGGCAAGACGGAAAGACCCCGUGAACCUUUACUAUAGCUUGACACUGAACAUUGAGCCUUGAUGUGUAGGAUAGGUGGGAGGCUUUGAAGUGUGGACGCCAGUCUGCAUGGAGCCGACCUUGAAAUACCACCCUUUAAUGUUUGAUGUUCUAACGUUGACCCGU